UCUCAAUGCAGAGAGUUUCAGAUUGCUGGUGUUUGUGGUUGGGACCCACCGAGCCAGAUCACCUGGCUUCCUGUUUGAGCCCCCUUUUUCUCAGAUGAUUGGGCAACUCUGUCUCCCAGGUGUUCCAGGUGCCAGUUGAAAUUGCUGCCUAGAUUUGUGUGAGCUUUUGUGUGGAGACCCUCUGCGCCAGCUGAAACAGCCAUGCUGGAGACUUGUGGAGCUUUUCUGACAGGGAAUCUCCUGGUCUGUGGGCAGUUGCACUUUUAUGCC